UUGUUCACAAUGGGCGCAAGCCUGAUGACGCAACGCCGCGUGGAGGAUGAAGGUCUUCGGAUUGUAAACUCCUGUUGCCCGGGACGAAAAGCUUCGACCUAACACGUCGAAGUCUGACGGUACCGGGUGAGGAAGCCCCGGCUAACUCUGUGCCCGCAGCCGCGGUAAUACAGAGGGGGCAAGCGUUGUUCGGAAUUACUGGGCGUAAAGGGCGCGUAGGCGGCCACCUAAGUCAGACGUGAAAUCCCUCGGCUCAACCGGGGAACUGCGUCUGAUACUGGGUGGCUUGAAUUCGGGAGAGGAAUGCGGAAUUCCAGGUGUAGCGGUGAAAUGCGUAGAUAUCUGGAGGAACACCGGUGGCGAAGGCGGCAUUCUGGACCGACAUUGACGCUGAGGCGCGAAAGCCAGGGGAGCAAAC
rnacentral:rRNA from 1 species